CGCAAUAAAGGGAAUGAGGUCUCCCUUGUCCUUCGGGACUAAACCGCCUACAAGGCUGAUGGCUUCUGCGAUUUU
rnacentral:ncRNA from 2 species